ensembl:misc_RNA Metazoa_SRP Metazoan signal recognition particle RNA
GCCAGGCGUGGUGACUCACGCCUGUAAUCCCAGUACUGUGGGAGGCUGAGGUGGGUGGAUCACCUGUGGUCAGGAGUUCGAGACCAGCCUGGCCAACAUGGUGAAACCCUGUCUCUA